rnacentral:tRNA from 1 species
AAAAACUUAGUUAAAUUAUAACACUAGCUUGUCAAGCUAAAAUUAUUAAAAUAGUUAAUAGUUUUUG